AUUCCAGCUCCAAUAGCGUAUAUUAAAAUUGUUGCGGUUAAAAAGCUCGUAGUUGGAUUUCUGCUGAGGACGACCGGUCCGCCCACUGGGUAAGUAUCUGGCUCGGCCUUGGCAUCUUCUUGGAGAACGUAUCUGCACUUGAGUGUGUGGUGCGGUAACCAUGACCUUUACAUUGAGGAAAUUAAACUGUUCCAAGCAGGCGUGCGCCUUGAAUACAUUAGCAUGGAAUCAUAAGAUAGGACCUUAGUUCUAUUUUGUUGGUUUCUAGAGCUGGGGUAAAGAUUAAUAGGGAUAGUUGGGGGCAUUCGUAUUUAAUUGUCAGAAGUGAAAUUCUUGGAUUUGUUAAAAACGGAUUACUGCGAAAGCAUUUGCCAAGGAUGUUUUCAUUA
rnacentral:rRNA from 1 species